ACAUUUUCAAGGAUAGAUCAUAUACUAGGCCACAAAACAAAUCUUAAUACAUUUAAAAGGAUUGAAAUAAAAAAGGUGGUCCUCUGACCACAGUGGAAAGAAAUUAGAAAUCACUAACAGAAAUUUGGGGAACUCACAAAUAUGUGGAAAUUAACAUACUCAUAAAUAACCAGUAGGUCAAAGUAGAAAUGAAAAGAGAAAUCAGAAAAUACUUUGAAAAAAAUGAAAAUGAAGUUACUACCUAAGAAAACAUGCUUACAGGGAAACUUCUAGUGAUAAAUGCUUAUAUUAAGAAAGAAGAAAGAUCUCAAAUCAGUAACCUUCCAUCUUCAGUCACUGGAAAAAAGAGCAGCCCAAAACAAGCAGAAGGAGAGAAAUAAUAAAGAUGAGAGUAGAAAUUAAUGAACUAGAAAAUAGAAAAAUGGUAGAGAAGAUUAAGGUAACCAAAAACUGGUUUCUUGAAAAGAUUGACAAAAUUGGCAAACCUUUAGCCAGACUGACCUAGAGAAAAAGGACUUAAAUUAGUAGAAUCAGAAAUUACUGGGAUUGCAAAAAUGGAAAGGAUUAUAAAGGAAUACUAUGGACAAUUGUAUACCAAUAAAUUACAUAGCUUAGAUAAAAUGGACAAAUUUUUAGAAAGACAAUUGCUGAAACAUUUAUAUGGACACACUGAAUAGUAGACCUAUAGCAAGUGAUGAGAUUGAAUUAAUCAUAAAGGUACCCACAAAGAAAAGCCCAGGCCCAAAUGGUUUUACUGCUGGAUUUUGCCAAACAUUUAAAGAACAAUUCUAACUCUUCCUAAAAAUUGAGAGGGGUAAUACUUCCCAACUUGUUUUAUGAAGCUGGUAUUACCCUGAUACCAUAGACAUUAUGAGAUAACUAUAGACCACUAUCUCUUACGAAGAUAAACACAAAAAUCCUCCAAAUACUACCAAACCUAAUUCACCAGCGUAUAAAAAGAAUUUUAUGCCACAACCAAGUGGCAUUUAUCCCAGAAAUGCAAGGUUGGUGUAAAGUUCACAAACCAAUUACUGUAAUGUAUCAGUAAACAAAACAAAAAACAAAAGUCACAUUGUCAUCACCAAAGACAUAGAGUUUUUGACAAAAUCCAACACUCUUUAAUUGAUAAAAACAUUAAAAAAAAAAAAGAAUAGAAGGGAACUUUCUCAACAUGAAUAAAGACACCUAUGAAAAAUUCAAAGAUAAUGUCAUACUUAAUGUUGAAAAACUGAAUGCUUUUCCCCUAAGAUCAGGAAUAAGACAAGAGUGUCUGCUUUCUCCAUUUAUAUUUAACAUUGUGUUAGAGUAUCUAACUAUGGUACUUAUGAAAAAAAAAUACACAAAGUCAUCAA